UACAGAGGGGGCAAGCGUUGUUCGGAAUUACUGGGCGUAAAGGGCGCGUAGGCGGCCUUCUAAGUCGAACGUGAAAUCCCCGGGCUCAACCCGGGAACUGCGUCCGGUACUGGAAGGCUUGAAUCCGGGAGAGGGAUGUGGAAUUCCAGGUGUAGCGGUGAAAUGCGUAGAUAUCUGGAGGAACACCGGUGGCGAAGGCGACAUCCUGGACCGGUAUUGACGCUGAGGCGCGAAAGCCAGGGGAGCAAACGGG
rnacentral:rRNA from 1 species